rnacentral:misc_RNA from 1 species
ACACACAGGAAUGUGAGUUCUUUCGGGGUGGGGCCACCGUUUCAAAACUUAAGGAGAUUUGAAGGUGACAACAACCGUUUUACAACCGAUCUGAUUGCAUCAUAUAUCAGGAAGAUAUUGAUAAGCUCCAUGAAUGGCCACAAAAAAGAGAAAUGCUGCAUCAUGCAUACGGGGAAACAAAAGGAAGAAGAUCUUCCGUAGUUAUUAUCUGAAUAAUCAUUCUUUGGCAACGGUUCCUCCAUGAGUGGAUCAUUAGCAGUAUUUGUCACGAUUCUUUCUUUCUCACAAAUUAAAUUAAAAGUCGUAAAAAUUUCAAGCUGUACAUAGGUUUGUGCACAAACAAGAUGCGUCCACAGAGCAUCGCUUUGUACAUGAGUCAUCGCUCUCUAGUCCCUCGACUGGAAAUUCCUCACGUACAGGGCUUGUUUGUUGCACCGCAAGCUUGCAGGAGACUCCAGGUUCGACUCAGUGAAACCGUCAAACAGGCCCGCCGUUGUCUGCUGAAACCAUUGAGAUCAGUGACCGAUUAAUUGUCAAGUUUUACCGUUAGAUCUAGAACGAAGUUCUGUGGGCAAGCGAGUAAGAAGAUUCCUCAAAGGCGCCCAAGGCACUGUCGCUCGCAAGCUUGAAGAAACAUACGGUGGCAACACUGACAGUUUUAGAGCUGGGACGAAAACCCUAGAGGAAUAUUCUGGAUAAAACCCACAAAAUCAGGCAGUUCAGUGCAGCUGGAGUAUAACACGUAAGGAGUGCCUUUAUUAACGCUGAUCCUGAGCAACCAACGAUGGGGGGGUUUGACGAUGUGUACUUGAUGUGGCUGGCCGGGCAAAUUACUCCAAAGGAGAGGGUUCCCUUGGGCUUGCUACUGGGCUUCAACAAUGCCGAUCUGGGUCGCUAUGAGGCCGAUUAUCAAAGAGACGUGAAGCUGCAGAUAUAUCAUAUGCUGGUCGACUGGCGUAACGGGAUGGAGGGGGGCGACUCGGCCAAAGUGGAGCAGCUAGGCAAGGUCCUAGUUCAAGUUGGACGCACUGACUUGAACAAAAUACUGCUCAGUGAUUUUGGUCAUGGCAUUUAAAAAAAGGCUGUAGGGGUUGGUUUUUUUUUUCAUUCGUAAAAAAGUGCUCCCCAAAAGAAAGGUGAUAAGUGCCAUUUCGAGAAAAAAGCUUGUGGUUUCAAUUAUGAAAGGAAAAAAGAAACUUACAAUAUAUUUUAGCCCCCUCCCGAUACACUGUUGCUGAGGUAUAUAGUUGGAAUGCCCAUUUCUGUCCAAUGCAACGAUGGUUUUGAAUACUGCACGGAAGCCGUGCACUAUUAUUGUAUUAUUAAGUAUUUUUGACUCUGUAUGCUACAAAUUGGAAGGACAUUUUGCCGUAGAUUUGUUCGACCACAGAAAAACAAGAUGAAUUUUAUAUACAUGUUUAUGCACUCAGAUAUAUAUGAUCAAAUGUUUACUUUCAUUCUUGUUAAAAGCAGAAUUAUUGUGACAAAGAAUGUCACGUAUAUUAACAUUCCUCCCCUGAAUCGUCUAUCCAAAGUAGAAAUAUUUGCCUGUCUUAUACCGGGUUUGCCAAAUUGCCAGUUUUAGAAAUGUUCACAAAGAUGGUUUAAAACCUGUGUUUGUAAAAACCACCAUAAAGCCAUCCGAAAGAAUCGUUCAGUGCGGAUUAAUACUGGGAAUGGUGAUUGAUAAUGACUUCGACCAUUGUACUUAUUAAAAAUAUACACUUUAAAAACUUUUCUUGGUUUUUUUUUCCAGUGACCUUAAAUAUACAAAAUAAUAAUAAUUGCUUAACACCAACACAAUUCGAAGUUCUGCUUCUUUGAUCUUUUCACAACUUUUUGGGAAUGAAAUAACAAUUUUUCUCUGGGAGGGUGCUACGACCGACUUCACAAAUGGCACGUGCAUGGGGCUGACAUGGGAGAGACGUUGCAAGAUGGUGAAGGAAGCUGCAGCCAAUUGCGAAAUUGUGUUUUAUGCAAAACACAAUUUGUGAGUUUUUUUAUUUGUUGCUUGCAGCGUGGACAACGCGUAAGUGCUCUCUGAAACUGUAUGUUUCCAGCAGCCCAAUACGGGCGUUUCACAACAGAGCGGCUCCAGGAGGUUGCAACGCAUUGACCAAUCACAAUGCGUUUGCAAAGGGUUGAUAGAUCUUGGAGGCCCGCUAUUGUGAAUCGCCUGUAUUUCUCUAAAUCACCAGUCGGUUUAAAAGAUCAGUAGUUCUUUUUCGUGUGAAAUUUCAGCAAAAUUAAUGUCCUUCAUCUGAAUUUCAGUUUCACAAGAAGGCAUUCCUUUUCAUCUUGUGAACGUUCUAUUACACAUUGUAAUAGGCUGCUAAAUAUGUUAAUAGUGCAUUCAACUCCGCAAAAUUGUCGUAUUCGAAGAGUUCGGGGAAACUGUUUCGCACAUGCGCAAACAAAAAUAACUCAGAUUUAUUCCAAGUACAAGACAGAAUUCCAACGAAGAGACUUGCCAUCCUAUAAAUUCGCAAUAAGUUGCUACACAGUUCUACAGGGUGUCCCGGAAAAACCAAACCCAAAGGAAAGGGGUUAAUAUGCCCAAAUCAUAAUAUAUUAUUAUAAUGCAUAAGGAUCUCCGAAAAGUCGAAGCAGUAUUCUUUCUAAUGAUACCUUGAUGGUAUCCCUCCUGGCAUGCAUGACUGAACACCAUUGUCUUGAAAAUGGGACAUCCGAACUCAGUUGUAACACCCUGAAGUUUUCUUUCGACAUUAGCUUCAAAUGAACCCGAACAAUGGCUGCACACGGACACUACUAAACUACUCCCAGAGUUGGCAGAAACUCAAAAUAAAAGGUUUUUGUCUUCCUUUGUUUGGUUUUCAUUUUCACUAGUAUUUUUCAGAGUUGUACUGAGUCAAUAAAUUUGGUGACUCGAGUCAAUUCGAGUCAAGUGACUCGAGUUGAUUCGAUUCCAGUAUUUAGCUCGAGUCAAUUCGAGUCACCAAUAUUUUAACACAAUACAAUGAGUAAAAACAAGAGAGAAAUUUACAUCUGGGUUUAACACAUAUGAACAUCAUAAACCAGCACUGUAGGUCGUUGCAAAUAUCUUUUUUUUCGCAAAGAAGUUUGUUUUGUUUUGGGGACUCAAAUCUUUUUUAGAAUUUUCACUCGAGUCAGGUUUUCAGAUGAGGGAGUCGAGUCGAGAAAUUUGCUCGCAGUGAAACGAGUCGAGUCAUUUACCCUUCGGGACCUGAGUCAAGUCCAGUCGCCAAAAAUUAAUUGUGACUCGAGUCGGACUCGAGUCGAGUCAUUGGCUCGAGCCAUUACAACUCUGUUAUUUUGCCUCACAUCAGAGUGGUAACGAGUGACUCCUUGAGUCGACUCGAGUCACUAUAACGUAUAUUAACUCACUCAAGUCAAGUCUUUGGGCAAAUAAGUCGGUUCGAGCCCAGCAGGGCGUUACCUUUGAGUCGUACAUUUCUUGGAUUAAGAUUGAAUAGGCUUUACUCCUGCCAAAGGGGUCCAACUCAUAACUUAAAAGUUCUGUACUUGUCAAGGUUGUCACGGUGUCGUGAUUUUGUGCGGCUGAUGUUUUCAUGUAUCCGAGACAGUGUAUGUUAGUUUGCACAGAACUGUCUGUUUUAGAGCUCUCUGAGUGAGUUUCUCACCCUGAGCUGCCACGCAGGCAUGACACUAGAGAAUUGCAGGUGGUUGACAAGAACUGAGCAUCCCACCCAAACACAAAGUCUGCAGUGUCAAGAAAAAGAGACCGGGACUGUCAAGGGAGAGCGGGACCAUCAAGGGAGGCCAAGGACCGUCGAGGGGGACCAGGACUGAGACGGAGGACCAGGAACGAACGUCCAGCCUGCAGGUCUUCACCAGAGACUGACUUCUUGAGAUCUCGCCACCAGUGAAAGUUGACAACCUCGCCCCUUCAAAGACUGCCGCAAGUAUACUGUAGACCCUCGCGUCACCCAGUAAGACCUGCUAUUGAUGUCGACUGUCCCUACGGUUUCGUGAGACUUGGCCUUUCGUUAUUAUUUAAUCACUGGCAUCUUCAGAAGUAUUGAAAUUUCUCUAUAUGCUGACAUUGGUAGCUAUUUGAUUACGAUUUCAAGUAAUAAAACUGUGAAUGGCUGGGUACUUGAAUCUUGAGUGGAGACAUUCACCUUAGAGUCCAAAAGGAGGCGAUUAAAACAUUGGUUUCUGCAAUUUGGAGCUGAACCGCGGGUUACAUAAAUAUUGAGCCUCAUCGAUGCAUCACACAUACUUACCACUAAAACGAAAUAAUCGUUUUCACAUUUCUAGUACAACCGUGUAGUAUUUGAUAUAGUUACCAAUCCUGUUCCACGGAUCAGCGUCAAAAAUACACACACUGUACUGUUUUUAAAGUCUAAAUUCCUGUGAAUUGUCCAUAACUCUUCUUAUAGAAUGAGGGAAUUACAAUCUAGAUAGUUUUCUCUUGUUGCCAGCGAACCAAGGUCACUGGUAUGGUGCCCAAUUUUUGACACACAUCUUUUCAUCUCAUCAACACGCGACAAUUAAGUUAGCACUGUACGACGGAUCUGCUGCGGCGUUCUGUCCUGUGACGCAGGGCCGGAUCCGUAAAAUUUUUAGUUUAUAUCCCCCCCCCCUCUUUUGGAAAAUUCCUGUUACGUGACGUGUUGGACAUGAAUUGAAUUGUGUUAAAUAGGGCACCAAAUCAGAUUCCAGUGCAGAUCAAACUCACCUUCCUGUAAAAAAAAGUACAAUAAAUAUGUGGCACAAAGCAGCUUCCUUUGAUUCUGGCGACGUAGCGGUUUUUUUUUCGUGAUUCUGGAGGGAAACUGAAAGCCAGGAGACCUAACAAUCACACUUCCCGUCAUAUAUUGCAUGAACCAGACUGUCUUGCUUUUCACGACCAACGGAAAUACCACACCACUCCACCCGACCCCACAACACUUCACCCCUAUUGUUUCAGAGUUACACCGUUCUAUCUUCAACGUGGCUGUGUCACAAAAUGGUACAGCCUACAGUACUUUUCAGUUUGCAUUCCUCACUACUGUCAAUGAAUCUUUUUAUAGAAAUUUGGGAAUUACCGGCUGGGUGUUUUUCUUUAUGUUGCCUGUGAUGUUUCUAUGAACAAAGGUCACCGAUGUCGUGACACAGCGACAUGCACUCAACAGCCCGUCCGUGCCAUCCCAUCGCGUGGUACACUGAGGCAAGAAUAGGCAACUAGAGGGAGGCAUCAUGAGCGGUGGCGGAGGUCCGGGUACUAACUCUCAACAACCCAAGGAGGAUCUGGACAACUCGUACCUCUUUUGGCUAGCUGGGAAUGUUACACCAAAGCAAAGGUUUUCCUUGGGCCUAAAACUGCACUUCAGCCCUGCCGAGAUCGCGGUUUUUGAGGAGGAUUAUCGCGGAGACACCAAGAGACAGAUUUUUGAGAUGCUGGUCAGGUGGCACAACCGACAGGAGGGAGACGAGCUGUCCAAAGUUAGGCUACUCGGUCAGGCUCUGGCCGAUGAUGAGGUUGGACGCGCUGAUCUGAAGAAAAUCUUGUACAAAGAUUAUCAUGUCGAAAUGGGUCGGUAAAGGGGAGAAUUACCCACUGUUUUGCCAAGUCAAAUGCGUUGUUCUUCAGGUGGAGUCAAUUCGAAUAAUUGAAAAUUCGAAUAUUCGACAAUCGAUUCAAUCAAAUAUUUCUGUAUUCCUGCAAACUUAGAUACAAAAUAUGCACACUCUUACCAAAAGUAAAAACGAAAACUUGAAAAAAAAUUUGAAGAAAAAGUAAUUUUGGGCUUAUUAAGCAAUUCUAGCAGCAUAUUAUUGUUAAGUGUUGUGAGCUAACCAAAAAGCAGCUGAAUGGUCAUGACCAAGAUUAGACCCAAUUAUACUUUUCCUUCAAAUGAAAUACAAUUGAAUGUGAUUACUUGAUUUCUCCCUUUUUUAUUUCAUUGAUUUUUCAUCUUCGAAUGGUCAGUUAGAAUUUUGGAAUAUAUAGGAAUAUUCUAUAAGUGGUCAUAUUUUCGAAUACUCUUCUAUCGGCACAAUUCCAAGUUAUUCUCUGGCGGAAAAAGAGGUACGAGACGGUGGUUUGAUUGAUUCUCUAACCUCAAUGAUUAACAGAUCUCUUACUUCAGAUUAAGUUCCCAUUGGCAUGAAGACGGCUAAAGUUACCCCGCUAUUUAAUGCAUGUGACCCAUUGGAGGUAGGCAAUACUGUCCUAUCUCUAUUCUCUCAGCUUUGAGUAAAAUCCUCGAACGUGCUGUCUUUGACCAACUUUUUGAAUUUAUGAAUGACAAGUAGCUGUUACAUCCAAAUCAGUCCGGUUUUAGGCCUCAGUACUCAACAAUGACAAUUUGACGAAAAUGGUCACACACUGGAGUCAAAACAUUGAUGCUGGCUUGCUGACCGGUGUGGCAUUUAUCGAUCUCCUUAAGGCAUUUGACACCAUAGAGUACUCGACUCUUCUUGCCAAACUAAAAUCGCUGGGCUGCUGCACCAGUACAUUAAACUGAUUUGCAAGUUUUCUUUCGGGACGUGUCCAUCAACGAGACUUUCUCUACAUCUCAGAAUGUUGUCAAUGGUGUCUCCAAGGCACUGUAUUGGGUCUUUUGUUAUUUUCGAUCUAUAUGAAUUUUAUGCCCUCAUCGGUAAGCAAAAGUAACGCGGAUGUAUGCUGAUGAUAUAUGUGACCCAUUCUGUGAAAAUGAGUCUUAAGUCACCAGAGCCAUUUUCUGAGUUUUCAUUUGUAUUGGAAAGAGGAAGUGAGUUU